CACACAGGAAAUCCUUAAAGCAAUCCCUAAGCCACUCUUUUGUUUUAAAUCCCUUUUCUCUCAAACACACUAAUCAUUUGUUGAUCAAAGAAAUGGACCAGAGAAUAAACCUGUGAAAAGUAAAAAAGUCCUGAUUUGAAAAUAAAGAGAUCUCACACAUGAUCUAGCCAGGACUUCACUUUUUUCCAAUCUGCCUUCUCCAGUAUUCACUAACAUGCUCACCCAUACAUACUUAUUGUGUAGGUUAAGAAAUAAUCAUCAGUAGCUGGGUGUGGUGAUGCAUAAGCACAACUCCCACACUCGGGAAACAAGAAGCUCAAAAAUCCAAGCAUCACCUUUGAACCAUUCAAGUACUGUUUGCACAGGGGAGGCGGAAUGAGGGGAGGACUGAGAAUAAAGUGGAGGGGUUGAGGGGUUGAUUUCCUCAAAGAAUACUUUGCAUUAUCACAAUGAAAUACUCUCCAAUUCCUGAUAUAUGCUAAUUCAAAAGUAAAAUAUUAAAAAGUAACUCACAAUCUCAAAGAAUGAGAGCAAAGGUAUUUUCUUACUAAAAUUGUGUUGGAACAGAAAAUAAGUCAUUUGGAAAAAGAGAAAAUAAAUCCAUUUCUCUUCGUAUGCACAGAAUAAACUAUAAAUGAAUGAGGUCUAGAGGUGAUAAAUUAAACUGUAUAGGAGUUGGCAACAAUAAUUCUGACAAAACUACAGAGGUAUGAAAAUUAAAUAACUACCUGGUCCUCAGCUUGAUUGCAUACUGUGGGAGUAGGGGGGUGAUCCUGUCAAAAGCUUAACUAGACCAAUCGACAAAGGAGAAUUACACACAGUAAAUAACAGCACUGCAGCACCCAGAGGAUAUGAAUAUAUCCUUAACUUCCUU